UGCCUCUGGCUGCUGCUUGUAGUUUUGAAAAGAAGAGAGACCAGGGAGGAGGCUGGAACAAGAUGCCAGGAUCACAGAAGAAAGUACCAGAAUCCACAUGAGACUAAUGGGUCCCAAGUCCAACUCCAGUCCUGUACCAAGACAGCCCCCGGCAGUGCAUCAGAAGGGAGGCAGAAGAGGAUGCACCGGUUUGCCUCUCUGACUCACUGUCCAAGGGCAAUGACAAACAGCAUCCUGUUUUACAGAAACUCGCAUUGUAAACCAGUCCAUCCUAAAGGAAAUCAACCCUGAAUAUUCGUUGGGAGGACUGAUGCUGAAGCUGAAGCUCCAAUAAUACUUUGGCUACCUGAUGCCAAGAGCCGACUCAUUGGAAAAGACUCUGAUGCUGGGAAAGACUGAAGGCAGGAGAAGGGGGUAACAGAAGAUGAGAUGGUUGGAUGACAUCACUGACUCGAUGGACAUGAAUUUGAGCAAGCUCUGAGAGAUGGUGAAGGACAGGGAAGCCUGGUGUGCUGCAGUCCCUGGGGUCGCAAAGAGUCAGAAAUGACUGAGUGACUGAACAAAAAAAACAAGAACACAUGGUAAUAUUUGGAAGCAUUGGAAGGGCUUUCACAUUAAUAAUAAUCACAACCUUCAGUGAGCUCAUCACUUGUGCAGGCACCAUGCUAAGAGAUAUAUAUCCAUUUUCCCCUUUAAUCUUAAAAUGACCUGUGCGGCAUAUAUUGUUUUGUAGCCUGCUUUUUUCCUCUCAAGAGUACACUUUGGGCAUCUUUCCAUGUCAAUAAAUAUAGCUGGGGCGGCAAGUGCUUGAUUCAAAGGCUGAAGCUGAAACAGUCAGCAGCCACUGCCCAGGUGAAGAUCAGUAAUAGUUAACAUUUAUUGAGUGCUUUAUUACACACCGGGCCCUAUACUAAUUGUUUAACACGAACUAUCUCUCAUUUGAUCCUUGAGGCAAUCUCGAGGUUGUUGUUCAGUCGCUCAGUUGUGUCUGACUCCUUGCGACCCCAUGGACUGCAGGCACCAGGCUCGAGGUAUCUUCUACUGUUAUUCAGAUGAGGAAGCUGAAGGUCAAAGAGGGAAACAGACUCUCCACGGUCAGACAGCUGGUGUAAAUGGCCAAGCUGCGGUUCAAACCCGGGUCCGUCGGAUUCUGGCACCGGGCUCUCAACCAGGAGGACAAUAGUGGGGAGGACCAUGUAGAGAAAAGGAGCCACUGACAAAUCCUGAAGCCAGGGAGGAGGGACGAAUGGGUCAAGUCCACAGGGGAUACAGUUUCCAAAAGCCACAGUUCUUGGAGGGAAUAAGAAGGCUUCCUGGAGGUGGUACCAUUUAGGCUGAUUCUAUGAAUCCAGCCCAGAAAGGAGGCCUUUU
ensembl:lncRNA